UGCUCCCUCUCCUAUAUAAAGAGGGGAGAAGCAAGGGUGCUAGGGGUCCAAGAACAAAGAAACCCUAGCCACCAUCCUCUCUCUGUCCUUGCUCCUGUACCGGCUUGGCGAAGCCCUGCAGGAAAUCUUCUCCACCACCACCACCACGCCGUCGUGCUGUUGGGAUUUCGAGAAGGAUCUACUUCAUCCGCUGUCCGCUGGAACGGGGAGAGGACGUCUUCAUCGACACCGUACGUGUGACCGAGUACGGAGGUGCUGCCCGCUUGCAGCACUAGAAGGACUACAUCUCGAACUUGAGUUCGACAAGAGUACGACUACAUCAUCCACGGGAUUUGAUCUCGUUAACACUUUGUAUCUUCAAGGGUACGUCUCUCAUCUAUCUCGUUUCUCAGAUCUGGUAGAUAAGAUCUUGGUGGUAUUCGUACUUGCGGUAGAAUUUUUUGUUUUCCAUGCAACGAACCCAUCAGAAUAUGUUUCCAAGGAAUAACGAGUUGCCCACCAGUACGUACGAAGCAAAGAAGGUUGUCUGCCCUCUAGGUUUAGAGGUUUAGAAGAUACAUGCAUGCAUUAACGACUGCAUCCUCUACCGCAGUGAAUACGAGAAUUUGAAUGAAUGCCCGGUAUGCACUGCAUUGUGUUAUAAGAUCAGAGGAGAUGACCCUGGUGACGAUGUUGAGGGCGAGAAACCCAGGAAGAGGGUUCCCACCAAGGUGAUGUGGUAUGCUCCUAUAAUACCACGGUUGAAACGUCUGUUCAGGAACAAAGAGCAUGCCAAGUUGUUGCGAUGGCACAAAGAGGACCGUAAGUCGGACGGGCAGUUGAGACACCCCGCUGAUGGAACGCAAUGGAGAAAGAUCGACAGAGAGUUCAAAGAUUUUGCAGGUGACGCAAUGAACUUAAGAUUUGGUCUAAGUACAGAUGGCAUGAAUCCUUUUGGCGAGCAGAGCUCCAGUCAUAGCACCUGGCCCAUGACUCUAUGCACCUACAACCUUCCUCCUUGGUUUGUGCAUGAAGCGGAAAUUCAUUAUGAUGCCAGUGCUCAUCCAAGGCCCGAGGAUUUUUUGACGACACCGUCCCAAAUCUAGCAGAAUCUACCAGACGACUAUGGACGUGAAUUUCUUAGGCAAGAAUCAUUAUUUCUGAAGGAAAAAAGCCUUGGCGAAGGAAAAAGACUUGUCGGAGAAGAAACCAACAAGUAAAAAAUGCGGGAAACAAGUUUCUCAACUCGGGGCACAGGAAAAACAAUCGAUCCCCUCGCUCAUAGUGGAAGCCGCUCCUUCCGUUACGACAUCCUUCAGAGCCGAUAUGGAUAAGGACAUGGAACUAUUGGACCCCGCUAUCCUAGUAGCUGCUAGAGCACAGCAAAUGACUGUAACAGCGGCCACAGAAAAAGCGGCCGUGACUCUUCGUGCAUUGUUAGGCCUUGAGGAUGCGCCAAUAAGUGAGGUAGCAUUUACAUAUGUGCCGAAUGGGCCUCUCGUCGAGUCUGCGCAGGAAGCGAGUCUACCAACACAAAUGCGAAAUCUGCUACUCUGGUACAAGGAUUUCAUAAAAAAUAAGGCCGGCAAAGAAUAUAUUUAUGCGGAAAUUAGAGAGGAGCAUCACUUCAAACAUUACUAUGUACAAGUUCAUAUGAGUGAAUUGUUUCAGUUGUUCAAUCUACGCGAGCUCGACAAAUCUCUCCAGAGUUUGCUAUGUUCUAGUGAAGUUUGGGGAAUGCAAAAGAAGGAACAUACAUGAUGUUAGGUUCGUUGACCCACAUAUCAUUAAUGGAUAUGUGUUAUAAAAUCACCCCCAAGACGUGGGGAGAGACCUGUACAAGUUUCUUACAAACUAGGAGCUCAAAAAUGAAAUUCUAUUUCCUUACCAUUUUGGGUUUCACUGGAUUCUGCUAAUAAUUCAAUUUGAUAACUCCAAAGUUGAAGUCAUGUACUCUCUGAAUAUGGACCCAAAGCAUUGGUCCGACAUAAGAGCAAUGCUGCAAAAGGUUUGGAAAUGGUUCAAAAAGAAAGUAACCGGUGAAUUCAAAGAUCUGCUAACAUUUAGAAGGUUAGCUAAUGUUCCAACUCAGCCACCGGGGAUCAGUCUAUGUGGAUACUAUGUUUGUGAGUUCAUCCGGGGACUCACCUCUGAGCGGAGGCCUCAGGAUAUCAACUUGCGGAGGAGUGACUUGCGGGAGAAGCUUAAUCCUGAAGCUCGCUUCCGACCAAUUCAAGAGGAAUUAGCAGGAUUUUUUAUGAGGAACGUCCUCCAUCCUAAUGGACAACCCUAUUACGAGGACGAAGAACUUCUAAUUCCGUAAAUUGUACAUGUAAAUUUGUUUAAAGUUGUAUAUGGU